CCUACGGGUGGCAGCAGUAGGGAAUAUUGCUCAAUGGGGGAAACCCUUAAGCAGCAACGCCUCGUGGAGGGUGAAGGUUUUAGGAUUGUAAACUCCUUUUGUUAGAGGAUAUUAUUACGGUAUCUCACGAAUAAGAACCGGCUCACUCCGUUCCAGCAGCCGGGGUUAUACGGAGGGUGGAAGCGUUACUCGGAAUCCCUGGGCGUAAAGAGUGAGUAGGCGGGGUAAUAAGUCAGAUGUAAAAUCCUGUAGCUUAACUACAGAACUGCAUUUGAAAAUGUUACUCUGGAGUGUGGGAGAGGUAGGUGGAAUUCUUGGUGUAGGGGUAAAAUCCGUAGAGAUCAAGAGGAAUACUCAUUGCGAAGGCGACCUGCUGGAACAUUACUGACGCUGAUGCACGAAAGCGUGGGGAGCAAACAGGAUUAGAUACCCCAGUAGUC
rnacentral:rRNA from 1 species